rnacentral:lncRNA from 1 species
CUGUUAUUGUAUUAAUCUGUGCUCAGAAUUUUCUAACUCUUUGUGAGUUUUUGUUCUUAUUUUUGGAGGAUUUCCAAAACAAGAAAAGGUUGAUCCGAACCUGAAAUCGGAGUGUUUUGGGUUUACUUGUAUCCGGGAAACAAGUGAUCUAGCUUGGGAUAGCUAGUGUCGGAGUUUCCGAUGUUUUGUAUUCGGGUUGAAUACAAAGGAUAGUGGAUUGAAAUU